rnacentral:rRNA from 1 species
CGCUCCUUGAUUCCUCGGCGACGGGUGAUAAGCUAGGAACUGCCUGGUAUGGGGGACACGUUUCGAAGGAACGCUAUACCGCUACGUCCUACGGGAGAAAGCAGGGGACCUUCGGGCCUUGCGCUAUCAAUGAGCCUAGGUCGGAUUACUAGUUGGUGAGGUAAUGGCUCACCAAGGCGACGAUCCGUAACUGGUCUGAGAGGAUGAUCAUCACACUGGAACUGAACCGGUCCAACUCCUACGGGAGGCACAUUGGGGAAUAUUGGACAAUGGGCGAAAGCCUGAUCCACCAUGCCCCGUGUGUGAAGAAGGUCUUCGGAUUGUAAAGCAUUUAAGUUGGGAGGAAGGGCAUAAAUUAAUACCUUGCUGUUUUGACUUUCCCACAAAAUAACACCGGCUAACUCUGUGCCAGCCCGCGGUAAUACAAGGGUGCAGCGUUAAUCGGAAUUACUGGGCGUAAGCGCGCUAGGUGGUCGUUAAUUGGAUGGA